CUUCUUUCUUCUUCCCUUAUUUUUUUUUUUCAACCGAAUUCUAAGAAACACAUAAUAUUAUUGCCCUCACUCAUAAGGAGAUGGACACCGAUAUUCUUUUUGUCUUAAAUAUCCAUUCUAGCAUUCCUCUAAUUUUUUAGCCCUUUGCCUUAAUAUAGAAAAUGGAUUCUGAUUAUGCUAACAUUAAUAAUUCCAUAAGAGAUCCUACAUGAAACACACAC
rnacentral:misc_RNA from 1 species